rnacentral:lncRNA from 1 species
UAUCCCAUACGUGCAUUUCGUAUUGAUCCUGGCCUAGAAGACGUGCUUUGAGAAUACCACACUUUUCAUUUCCACUCCAGUACUGUAGAAAGUAUUUUAAGCCAGUUCCCCCU